UUAUCUGCAACAUCAUCGGUCACCAGUCGGUCGGUCGAGUAUUUUAGUGCUUGUGGAAACCUUUUCUGGAAGGAGUACUUUGUGUACAUAAAUAUUUAACCAACACACUCUCCUCACACACCUGAGAUGAAUGAUCAGAGUUGGGGGGGGGGACCUGCCGUUUUCUUCCUGUUCAAACCCACGACAGCUCUCCAGGGAAUCAGGAUUUUUAAUUUUAGUUAUUUUUGUUUUUUGUCACCUUAAACCAACAGGAUGAGAUUUCUGAAGGUAGAUAUUCCUGUGGGUGUCGUCCAGUCCCAGAGACAAACGUCCAGUCCCAGAGACAAACGUCCAGGACAGUUAUCACUCACUGUCUGUUUGACUCCAGUCUGAUCUGGAUCAGUGGAUAAAAAUCUAGACCAGAUAUUUGAUGCUGUCCACGUAGUAAUGGAAAAAAAAUCUGGUCUAGGUGGACUGUGGUCCAGUUGGACUGUGGUCUAGGUGGACUGUGGUCCAGUUGGACUGUGGUCCAGGUGGACUGUGGUCUAGGUGGACUGUGGUCCAGUUGGACUGUGGUCCAGGUGGACUGUGGUCCAGGUGGACUGUGGUCUAGGUGGACUGUGGUCUAGGUGGACUGUGGUCCAGUUGGACUGUGGUCCAGUUGGACUGUGUCGUGUUGAUGCUUCAGCCUGAAGGUUACAGCCGACCUCCACCAGCUCUUUGCUCAGUCUCCGUUUUUCCGUCUGUGUAUUUCAGUCUUGUCAUUGGACGUCACGGUCGUCAUAGCAGCAGACUCCGUCAAUGAUAAAUCUUCAAGGUCACAGCAGGACAUCAUUAGAGUGACCUUUCCGUCUACUCACGUCUGUUAAAAUAAUCUGUUUAAGAUUUUUU